UUUCCGUAGGUGAACCUGCGGAAGGAUCAUUGUCGAAACCUCUGCAAAYGCAGAACGACCCGCGAACCGGUGAGAACCAUCGCGGGCGGCGGGUCCUCCGGGCCGGUCGCCCUUCGUCCGCGGCUCCUYGUCCGCGGGCGCAAACAACGAACCCCGACGCGAAUUGCGUCAAGGAACCUAGAAAGGAGACGGRCGGCCCCCGYGGGGGGUCGCGUCGUCGACGAUAUCGUAUCCAAAACGACUCUCGGCAACGGAUAUCUCGGCUCUCGCAUCGAUGAAGAACGUAGCGAAAUGCGAUACUUGGUGUGAAUUGCAGAAUCCCGUGAACCAUCGAGUUUUUGAACGCAAGUUGCGCCCGAAGCCGUCAGGCCGAGGGCACGCCUGCCUGGGUGUCACGCAACGUCGCCGAGCGCCCCUCUCCGGGAGGACGGGGGCGGUCGGCGGAUAUUGGCCUCCCGUUCGCUCCGGCUCGCGGUUGGCCCGAAAAAGAGCUCCCCGGKGACGGCAGYCGCGGCGUGCGGUGGUUGGCAGCCUCGAACKGCGCCGCGGGCGGGCCUCGCCGAUCGGGAGCGGAUGGCCCCGGAGACUGCAACGGCGACCCCAGGUCAGACGGGAACACCCGCUGAGUUUAAG
rnacentral:rRNA from 1 species